rnacentral:rRNA from 1 species
UACGUAGGGUGCAAGCGUUAAUCGGAAUUACUGGGCGUAAAGCGUGCGCAGGCGGUUAUGCAAGACAGAGGUGAAAUCCCCGGGCUCAACCUGGGAACUGCCUUUGUGACUGCAUAGCUAGAGUACGGUAGAGGGGAUGGAAUUCCGCGUGUAGCAGUGAAAUGCGUAGAUAUGCGGAGGAACACCGAUGGCGAAGGCAAUCCCCUGGACCUGUACCUGACGCUCAUGCACGAA